GUCUAUGGCCAUACCGCCCUGAACAUGUCUGAUCUCAUGUGAUCUUGGAAGCUAAACAGAGAAAGGCCUAGUUAGUAAUUGGAUGGGGAAAAUGUUGAUA
rnacentral:rRNA from 1 species